rnacentral:lncRNA from 1 species
GUGGGAAGAUCUGAGAGGGUUGGAUUGAAGAUUAAGAACACAAAAAGGAGGGCCUCAAAACAAAGGGGGUGAAGAUGAAGGCUAGAAAUGGAAGGAGUAGGGGCUGUAAAUGACGGGGUUGAGAUGAAGGCGAAGAAUAAAGGAAGUAGGGCCUAAGAACAAGGGAGGUUGGGAUAAAGGCUAAGCAUGGAAAAAGCGGGGAUUGGAAGUAAAGAGGGUUGAGAUUCUAAUGAUGGUUUCUAGAAAUGAUUCAUUUUUCUAAUGAU